GUGAUGUUGUCUUCAUGUGCAUGGUGUUGUUGUUGUUGAUUUUCUGUCACAACCUCUUCAAACACGUCUUGUACAACAGUGUUAUCGUGCAGUUCGAUGUCAUGUGCAACCUCUAUCUCGUUACAUGGUUCAUCAGAAUCAUUGCUUCCCAUGUUCUCGGUUACUACAACUAUUGGUGCCAUAAUCGCUGUGUUACGAUCAACGUCUUCAACUGCUGCUUCUUUAUUGUUUAUUUGUUCUUC
rnacentral:lncRNA from 1 species